CAGAGGGGAGACUGAGGCACGAUCUCAGGAAGGAGUUCUUCCCUGUCAGGAUGGUGAGGCCCUGGCACAGGUUGUCCAGAGAAGCUGUGGCUGCCCCAUCCCUGGUAGUAUUCAAGGCCAGGUUGGACAGGGCUUGGAGCAACCUGCUCUAGUGGAAGGUGUCCCUGCCCAUGGCAGGGGGUUGGAACUGGAUGAGCUUUAAGGUCCCUUCCAAUUUUGAGUAUGGAGGACAAAAGAAAACACUCAGCAAAAUGCUGGUUUGUGGGAACGUUGAAGCCAAACUCUCACUCCAGUUCCAGAGACAGCAGCUUGGUACUUAUCUAAGUGUUAAACGACAUCAGUGAGUGCACAGACAGCUAUCAUGGUAGCAUUUUGUGAGUAGGCGCUUGUGGAUCAUACAUGGCUGGGUACCACUGGUGGGUGCACAAGGGUCUCCUCCCUGCUACCAAGCCACCUCGCAAGAUGUUGUCAGCUACCACAGCCAAAUCUGAUGUCCCCCAAAAGUCAAACUGAAAUGCUACCCAUGCAGGUGACACCCAGCAAGAAGUGACCCAAGCUGCACUAGAGAUGUUUUCGAUCUAACAGGGUUGUUCCUGCCCCACCAUGCAGCUGUUCCAAGAAACAGCAACAUGGGAGGGACUCAAAUGUGGGAGUAGCGGCUGGGCAACACAUGGUUCCUUCUGCAAAGCCCCAUGCUGUCAAGUACCCAGGAGAGCCACAAGGCACCCAGGACACUGACAGCACCUCAUGCUGAAGGAGAGAUGGAAACAGUGCCUGUGUAUAGAAGCGGUGGGAUUCAGCAUCAGUGAACAGGGACUCAGUAACUCAUAUUUUUGGGUGUUUUCAGCCAUGAGUGCCAACAGAAGACUGAAGGUUUCUAAUAUGGUUUCACUCAACCUGCACAGCUUCAGUGGAGGAGGACAGCAGAAGAAACAUCUCAGCUGAGGAUCUCCAGCUCACUGCAGCAAGCACUGGGUUGUGUUGGUAUAAAACCAGUUGUCAGAGGAGGAAGAAACCAAGUGAGAAAAACAGGGGCCAGAAACAUCAACAGGUAAAAGGCAAAGCACUCCAGGGGCUGCAUAAAGAAGCCAAGGCCAUCAGAUCAAAUAAAUCUGCAUUUGCUCUGAUUUGCUGGCAAGCCAGCCUGGUUUCCUGCAUGAUUAGUUUUCUUCUGCUGCAUGGCAGUUAAGUGGUUUAGGUCUAAUUGCUCAGGAGCCUGAAGCUUUCUGUAGCCCAGAGAAACAGCUAUGCGAUGGAAAUGGAUAUGCUAUCUCCAUGUGUCCCUCACCAUCCAGAAGCCCCAUCUCUGGGGGUGAUGCUGUCCCAAACAUGCAACUCACCAGGAAACCCUGGGAAUGUCCCUUGGCACCUCUCCUUGAGGGUGCAGACCCCCUGGCAGUUGCUGCUGAGCAAGCCUAUCUGUACACACCUCUGUGGAUGGUGGGGUUGUACCAACAUCUCUUGUAGAUGUAUGUCCUGCUUUUUGCAAAAGGCAAGAGCAGAAUCCAUGUGGCCAAACACGUAAAGUUGGGGGCUUCAGGCAAGCUGUCAUGGAGAGGGUCCAAGCAAGGUCUUCACUGGCUGUUGGGUUUUGGCCUGGUUUGGGAGUUGCUCUUUUCCAGGUUAUUGCAUAGCAGGACGAGCUAACACAGGGACCUGGCUCGCUCCUGAGCACUUUUCAGACCCUGAGGAAAGCUGUGGCAGGCAGAUUGCUCUUGAGGAACCAGAUGGACAGCUUCGCCACCCUGCAUCCUCUGCUCCUCACAGCUAAAAAUGAUAAUGUCAACUUGUAAAGUAAAGAUGGUUGCUUGCAUGGUUCCUAUCACCUGCUCUUCCCCUGCCUGGGGUGAGUGUUCACAUCCUCCUCAGGCAACUCUCUGCUCUCGUGUCCAAACCCAGCAGCAAGGGCUGUUGGUUGUACAACAAACCUAUUUUUUACAACAGCUGUGGAGCUGGGUGUCCACACCACCCUCCACACAACUAAACCAUUAUAUUCCCACCUCAACACCACGUGUUGCUUAAUUAUUCUACUCAUGAAGUCCUUGAUCCUGAAGCUGCAAUGACAUUAUGACAGAAAAGAACAUGAAGAGGAGUCUUCACAGCUUUUUUUUUCCUUCUGAGAGUGACUUGUGGCUACUGGUCAACUGAUGCAGCCAGAGGUGACUGAUGAGGACCUGGGGUGGAAAGCCUCUGUGAUCCUGGAGAAUCCCUGCUGGCAAGGCCUGUGUCCCCACUGGGGUGGGCUGGCAGGCUGUCACCUCGUAUGGUGGCUUUUGCUGAUUGCUGGGAGCUUUUGCCCUCAUUAAGAGCAGUAGCUGACAGCACCAGCUUAUUCUAAAAUGACUUUUGCUUGAUAUAAAUAAAACAUACUUUAAUACUGCAUGUUGUAUUUUUGGAACAUGCA